rnacentral:lncRNA from 1 species
GGCACAGCUUUGAGACGUGAUUUUAAUUAUGAAGGUGUCGUGUCUUGCUGGGAAUUUGGUUCAACAGUGAGUCUUUGCUGAAAGCCUAAAGGCUUACUGAAGCCUGAAAGUUGGAAUCUGCAGCCCUUAAUGAACACAACCUCUGUCUAUGGUGAUGUUUGGUGAAAUAUCUUGCCAGGGUGACUUGGCACUUGGACAGAGGGUGGGAUUGUGUUUCCUAUCCCUUAUCCUUUUGCCUGAAUGAUUGGGAAGAGAGGAGUUAUAAGCGCCCAGCAGACCGGGCUGAGCAGAGCAUAUACGUGUGAUGGCAGAGAGCGGAGCCGCAGUUUACUUCUGUUUAUCCUGUUUUAUUUUGAGUUAAUAAAGAGCCUUUUUCGCCACUCCUGCCUUCCUUGUCCAUUGUCUAUCGAACUGUUUUACAAUGGGAAUGGACAGGAAAUACAUAUAUUGUAACUAAAACAUUAAAACAUAAAAAAUGCCAAUGCCUUGGCUUAUGUGAUCACUGAAUUGGAAUUUCCGAAUCGUUUAAAUUUUGUACUUGAAUUUAAUACAAUUUACCUAUUUACAAAAGGGUCAAUGACAUCAGCAUUUUUCAUCAAGUAAUUUUUCUUCUAUAAUAUUAAUAUUUCUGAGUAAAACACAAUAUCAUUGUCCCUUGCUAAGUCCUUGCUCAGUGAAACAAAAGUUAUCUUUGAGGUCAAAGUCUCUAAAUGGGAGGGUGCCAACUAUACACCAACAACCGCUAAACUUGCAAGGCAAAGACAAUUAUGAUUGCCAUCUUCACGAAUAGGUGAUGUAUAGAGUUUCAGGUGUUGGUUUCCUCCAUAGAAUUAUACCUGUUUUGUGAGGCAACUUUGCUAUAUUGUGACAAAAGGUACUGUGUCUAUUUCUCAUCUUAUUUUGCUAUUUUCAGGAAUGGUCAAAGCAACUAUGAUAUUUUAUCUCUUAGUUGAAUUUGCUGUUUUCUAACAAGUGCAGGAUUUCUUUAACAUGAUAAAUCAUCAGGAGCUUAAAUGUAAUGUUUACGUCUAAAUGUAUAAAAUAUAUAAAGACCAAGAUUAAAUCAGAGAGCGGGUUAAAGGAAUAUUGUCAUUUCAAUUCGUCUUUCGCAGAAUCUGAACUGAGGAAGCAGAAGAUAUGCAGAAUUAAAAAUUAAUAAACAUGAUGUCUAAUUAAAAUGAACUGAAAUUCAAAUAACGGUAAUCUUAACUAGAAAAGGAAAAACUAUCAAGGCAACCUUACAAUAUUUUUAAAAGUUCUUAAAGUUUAAAAAGCAUAAAUGAUUGCCUUACGGACAGAAUUCAUAGAUGUAACAGUUUAUACAUUUCUGACUUUAAUCUUUGCUUUACUCUACAGGUGAAAAAAGGGCAGAUGGGUAACAGCACAUUUAAAAUAUUUAUUGCUCUUACAUGUAUCUCUAUUACUUCAACACUGAUUAUGGUAUAUAA